CUACGGGUGGCAGCAGUGAGGAAUAUUGGGCAAUGGGCGCAAGCCUGACCCAGCCAUGCCGCGUGAAGGAUGAAUGCCCUACGGGUUGUAAACUUCUUUUGUACGGGACGAAACUUCCGAUCGUGAUCGGAACUGACUGUACCGUUCGAAUAAGCAUCGGCUAACUCCGUGCCAGCAGCCGCGGUAAUACGGAGGAUGCAAGCGUUAUCCGGAUUCAUUGGGUUUAAAGGGUGCGUAGGCGGUAUAGUAAGUCAGUGGUGAAAGCCUGCGGCUUAACCGUAGAAUUGCCAUUGAUACUGUUAUUCUUGAGUAUAGUUGAGGUGGGCGGAAUGUGUAAUGUAGCGGUGAAAUGCUUAGAUAUUACACAGAACACCAAUUGCGAAGGCAGCUCACUAAACUAUCACUGACGCUGAGGCACGAAAGCGUGGGGAGCAAACAGGAUUAGAUACCCGUGUAGUC
rnacentral:rRNA from 1 species